rnacentral:piRNA from 1 species
UGCGUUAGCUAGUGGACCCUCUCAUUGG